rnacentral:rRNA from 1 species
AAUCAACGCUGGCGGCGUGCCUAACACAUGCAAGUCGAACGAGAAAGGGGAGCAAUCCCUGAGUACAGUGGCGACCGGGUGAGUAACACGUGACUACCUACCCUUGAGUGGGGGAUAACCUCGGGAAACCGAGGCUAAUACCGCAUAAUAUCGAGAGAUCAAAGGAGCAAUCCGCUCUUGGAGGGGGUCGCGGCUGAUUAGCUAGUUGGUGAGGUAAUGGCUCACCAAGGCGAAGAUCGGUAUCCGGCCUGAGAGGGCGCACGGACACACUGGAACUGAAACACGGUCCAGACUCCUACGGGAGGCAGCAGUGGGGAAUUUUGCGCAAUGGGGGAAACCCUGACGCAGCAACGCCGCGUGGAGGAUGAAGCUCCUUGGAGUGUAAACUCCUUUCGACCGGGACGAUAAUGACGGUACCGGUGGAAGAAGCACCGGCUAACUCUGUGCCAGCCGCCGCAGUAAG